GCCUAGUGAACGUGGACAGAGCAGCAUCGCUCGUGUAAAUGGUGUAAGUGUCGGUGGCCUCGGAUGGUACGAAUCGUUAUAAUUGUCGGUAUGUACCGCGUAUACCGAGUCAUGACGGUGUGGUGAGGGGACGUUCUGAAAAAACUAUCAAAUGCGCGGGUGAGAGAGAGCGCGGAGGAUGGGGCGGGGACAGAGCCCUAUGGAGUUCGGUUAGGCCCGACCCCUGGCCAGCCCCGAACCGCCAUGGAGCCCGCCGACCGCGCUCAUCGGCCUCUUGCAUUUGACAAGAUGGAGGGGCUGGUACGGGCAAUGCAGGAUCCAGAGACGGGGGUGCCAGUCCGCAGCCAGAAGCUCUUCCUUACCUCAAUACCCUCCGCGUUCAUGGGAUACGACCUCAUAGAAUGGCUGAUGGAACGCCUCAACAUCGAAGAGUCUGUAGAGGCGGUCCAUCUAGCCAACCAACUCUGUCAAUACGGUUACUUCUUCCCCGUCAGCGACUCCAAGAACCUUGUAGUCAAAGAUGACAGUUCCCUCUACAGGUUUCAGACUCCUUACUACUGGCCUUGGCAACAUAGAAGUCCGGACAACGUAGAGUACGCAAUCUACCUGUGCAAACGUACACUACGCAACAAACAGCGCCAUGGCUUGGAGGAGUAUGAAACUGAAGCUCUUGGAUCCCUCAAAAAGACUCUUCAAAACAAAUGGGACUUCAUUUCUAUGCAAGCAGAAGAACAGGUGCGUCUGGCAAAAGAGAGAAAGAAAGGAGACAAGAUAGUGUCGGACAGUCAAGAGCGAGCAUACUGGCGGAUCCAUCGGCCCCCGCCAGGCUUCACCUCUUCCUUGGAGCCGGUCCCCGUCUGCAACCGCGGGGGCUCGGGGUCGAGGCGACGUCGGACUAGCACAGACGUCCGCAGAGAGGUGGAGUUUCUGCGGGGUUGUAUGAGUCGGUCGCGCAUGAAGGUGUCGCAGGCUCUGGAAGGUCUGAUGCAGCAUUGUGACACUUAUCUGGAGUACGACCCUUUGUUGUCCGGAGCUCAGCCCUCCAAUCCGUGGCACUCCGAAGACACUGCGUUCUGGCAUUUUAAUAGUCCUAUUGUUGAAGUGCCUACAGAGAAAAGAGUGAAGAGGUGGGGCCUUUCCAUGGAAGACCUAGUGUCGGAUCAAACAGGAAUCCAAGAGUUUACCAAUUAUCUACGGAAGGAGUACAGCCAUGAGAACAUUCGGUUUUGGAUGGCCGUCAGAGACUUGCGCAGAAGUUCCCAUUCCCAAAUUCCACUUAAGGUUCAGGAAAUUUACGAGGAGUUCCUGGCACCUGGCGCGCCUUGUGAGAUCAACAUCGAUGGUAAAACUAUGGAGAAAACGCAACAAGAAAUGAAAAACCCGACGCGGUGGACGUUUGACUACGCGGCCGAGCAUGUGUACACUCUGCUACUCAAGAAAGACUGUUACCCUCGCUUUAUACGCUCUGACCACUAUAAGAAUCUCCUUGCUACCGGGGUCCAGCCCUCUGCCAAGAAAAGGUUUUUUGGCUUCGGAGGCGCUGGAAAAAAGAAGAGUUCAACAAGUGCUGCACCUAACCUGAGCGGGCUGCAAGCGGCCGCAGCAGCUGCGUGUAGUCAAGCGGCAGUGAGCCGUAGACGAGGCAGCGACAGGAGUUUGACGGGGUCGGCGCACGAGCUGGCCGUCAGCGGCAUUACUCGGGACCGGGUGGGCCACUCCCACAGCCAAAGUAACCUCAGUGAUAUUCCAUACAGAGGAGACCUGCCCCAGGGUUCAUGGUCCAACCUGGAGGCCGUGGGAGGAGGAGGUGGUUCCUCAGACGAGGGUGUGGAGAAGGACAAGAGAGGAGACGACGUUUGUCCGUGGGACACACCGGGGUCCCCAGACAAGAAGCUACAUGCGGUAGCAGACGACACAUCAGGGUCUCAGAAGUUACAUCCGGUAGACGACACGGCAGCAUGCUCCUGGGACUCGCUCGGACACGUCGGGUCUCGCAAGAACUCAACACAGCUGGACUCGGGCAGCUCGUCCUCCGACAUCAGUCUCGCGGUGGCUGUCGAAGUGAGUGAAAGACUUCGGAAGAACUGUAAUGUGCAGGACAGGUUCCAGGGGCGUCGAUCGUCAAACGUGUGUCCUCGGCCCUCUGUGUCGUCCAUGGAAGACGUGACGCCUCAGAGGUCGUUUGACUCGACGUCGUGCGAGGCCAACAUAAACCUACCCGUUGAAGUUCCUGAGAGAAUACGUAAAAAGUCGGUGAGCGGACCACCCGGCCGGAAACAGUCGACUGUGGCGCCACUCAUCAGCGUUAGUUCCGUAGCGGAGAACCCAGGUGGAAUGGAGGAGACGGAGGAGGGGGAAGUGGUGUCGGCUACAACGGGCGUGAAACAGGAGACAUCACAGAAACCUCCAGAGAACUCAUCAGAGAAACCCUCAAGCACACCUCAAGAAGCCUCUGGGAAAACCAAUGACGUUUGUCCUUGGGAAGAUGAUGUUCCAAAACACAGUUAAGACCUUUGCUGCUAUUUUGGAUUUACAAUGGAACAAUCAUUUUUGUGAAAACCAACAGAUAAAUUGAAGUCUUCCAAAAAAACAGUUCAUGAAAUAAUAAACAGGGGACAGUUGCAAAGUGGAUACGCCGUUUGUCAAGACAUAUGUGACGCUUGACUAUUUGUAACAACUAGUGAAUUCAGUUUAUUCGCUACCUGAGCAGUGUUGGCUUUUCAAAAUUAACUGACCUCUUGAAAUUAACUUUCACCCGCACCACACUAUGUUAGUUUGUGUUAACUUGUUUUCCGUUCGAUGUUUGCUUUUCGAACGAUCACCGUCCAUCUCGGUUUGGUUAUGAGCGUUGUGAUUUGGCGCAGAUUGAAUGAACAGAUUAUUGAUUCUGAUAGUUAGAUAUCUUGAAAAUAACCUAGACACAAUAUCUGAUGUGAAAUGAUGCUGAUAAAAGCAAACAUUUGCAAGGUUAUUCUCGGGAGGAUUAUUUGUAAUGUGAGCUCGGGUGCGAAAGUUGCACAGGUGCAGAUUUACCCGUAUCAAACUGAGCCCUUGGUGCGGGAAAAUCCAAACUUCUGCUUUUUCGCACUUGCGGUAAAUAAGAAAAAAAGAAAAACACAAAAAAAGUAGAUGUAAUGUUAGUUGGGAAAUUUAUUCUAUAUUGAUGUUGAGCUUAUUUACCAAUAUACCCUCAUGUUUGCACAUUCGCAGUUCUUGCACCAUUGUCUAAGUGUAACUCGGUGUAUCGGUGUUCCGAUUAGUGUGUAUGUGUUAGAUGUACGCAUUACAUGUGUCGUCUUAUUGUUUGAUGAAGCUCACAUUACGAAUAAUUCAAGGUCGGAGAUAUGAGGAAAGGACGAAGUUGUGUGGUGUGAACGAAGAGAUGGGUAAUGACAAGGUAGAUUCAGGGUAAAUUUUUUGACAGGCCCUAAGUUAUUAUUUUUCAUUUAAUUAAACUUUGUAAAUCAAUGAUUUUCAAUGCACAAGGUCUUGUUGGAUGGAAUUAAUAUGAUAGAAUCAGAUAAAAUCCAACUAAUCAGAAACUCAAUUAUUCUAAGCAUGAUGUAUGUCUUAUCUGAAUAAGGAAAAAAUGUCUCCAAGGCAAAAGACCACCAACUUAAUAGUUUUCCUUUGAUUGUUGAAAUUUUAAGCGAUUUUGCAUUGUAAUGACUUUUCCUAUUAGAACCGCUACUAAAUGGUGCUUUAAGUUGCUGUUCAAUUUGUUCUCAUAAUUUAUGGUUUGUAAUUGACGUUGAGUUAUCAAUUUCAUGCUUUUUUUCUCUGUCAAUGCACAAGUUGGUUGUUUAGUUUGGAAAGCACUGCUGGGGAUCCCAACGAUCUUGACCGAGGGUUCUUUGACUGAAACCUGAGUUCUGUGCUACGGGAAUGUCUUUCAAGAGUUUACCAAACUGUACAGUGUUAUGUCCUGGACUUAAAUACAGCCUAAUGAUCUGUGUUAUGUUGGGUUUGAACUGAAGAAGGUUUAUGAAUUGUUAUGAGAUAAGUAUGGCAAAUGCGAGAACAAAUAUGAAUCGAAAUCAGUAUGAAACGGCUUUUGUUAAAAGCGUUACUGUUGGUUUGUCAAAAUAUGUUGGUAAAAAGAUUUUUUGUGUAAGAAACUUGCAGGAUUAUGCUGUGAAACGAUACCGGUAACAUAAGGCUUUCAAAAGUGGCAUAAAGUGUAAACAUACUCUGAGUAUUUUAAAUAUUCGUAACAUAUUUUACAUCAACUUUGCUGAAAAAGUUUAAUUUUGUAAAAAUAGUUGACUGUAAAAUAAUAUUAAGAUAGUGUAUUCGAUCGUCAAAUAAGUGAGGAAAGAACAGAUGUGACGAAUAAAAAAAACACCCUAGAGGUGGCUGUAUGUUAUAUUCCUUGUUGAUUUGUGUAAUAAAAUAUUUUUAGAUACGUAGAUGUGAUUUAUAAAAUGUUAUUGGCUAUUUGUAGACGGAAAACUAACUAGUGUUAUGUUUUGUUUUAUAUAAAAUUGUGGGACAGCAAAACAGUCUAUUAGUUAUCACACAUCGAUGUUAUUUUUUUAUCUAGGCCUGUGAAGAUGUUUUAACGUUAGACAAUACCGUUACUCUUUUUAACUUGUAAUGUGUCUCGGAAAUUGAAUUAUCAGAUGUGCUAGAGGCCAAAAUAUUUUAUUGCAACGUGUUAAUGUGCUGAUUACAAUUUUGGCAAACAUUUUAAUUAAUUGUUUGAUAAUUUGAUAGCGCUUUGAAAAUUAAUUCCAAUAAUUUUAAAUAAUCUGGGCGGUUUCAAGAUAAGUAUGUUAACUUAUCCUUUGAAGAAUUUCCAGUGAUACCCAAAAAAUGCUCAAUUUAUUUGCACAAUGUGGUUGAAUGAUUUCGCUUAUAGUGCCUGCAAAUCUGAGUGUGGAUUCUAAAUUGUCCGUUGCCAAAAUGUUAAAACACUGUAGGUAUGUGUUUGCGAUUACCGAGUGUUUUCAUUUGUCGAUGCUUUCACAGCUACAGUGUUCUGGAUGUUUACCAUUUUUGUACAUCAAAUCGUACUUAUGAAAUCGUUCCUGUCAGAGUAGAUGGGUUUGUUGAGACGAAGGGAGGUUGCUAACUAUUGCCGCUUCCAUCGAUAUGAUGAGACAUUAGGCCUAAGCGCAUAUCUGAUCCUUAGUGUUGUUGUAGGUAGCUACGUCUGUUGGAGCUUUAUGUAAAUAGUACCAUAGCGGAAUGUUUCAAUACAUAUUUUUUGUCUACAGUUUUUUCAUAGUUUUAAUUAAGUCUAGUCUAGUCAUAUUGGUACCAAGUGAAUAGAGAUAAUACGUUUACAUUGUUUAAUUAAAUAGAUAUGGAAAUACAAUUUAAAAUUUCA